ACUGUCAUGGGGUAGAACGAGGUCUUUGCAGUAGCUUGGAUGGGUUCUCCACCAAUCAUAUAUCUGUCAUAUUAAUCUCAUGCAUUAGUUUUGUAAGCCAUGGUGUGUUAGCAGCAAAGACAUGAGAAGUGGGUUUCAUUCUGCACAAUCAUCUAUGUGCAUUGUUCUCUCCAGCAGAUUAGUGGUCCUCUAAUUAACAACCCCACCACGGCUAUGAGCAUACCUUUAUUCAACUUUUUUAUGUGUUGUGGUAGAUCUACCAUAUGUCAUAGAUAAGAGCAGCAGAUUAAUUUGAUGGGCAUCAUAUGGACAUGUUCUAAAUUGUACAGUUACAUUCUUCUUCACAUUUCUGUUGUUACCCGUAGCAUUUAUCUACUAUCCUGCUAUUGCACUACUUUACAGAGGAAAAUUUAUUCGACCAUUCAUUUUUCUUUUGCUUUGGAACUAAAUGGUAGGAUUAAUCCUGGGACAUACCAUGGUUUAGCCAUAUAAGGAGUACACAUGGUGCUCUUACAAAUAUUCUUCCUUUUAGUUCCAAACUCUAAGAUGAAUAGAUUCUAUCUCACAUUCAUAAUAAAUUGUUUGCUGGCGGUGAAAAUUGUGUGUAGGCUCAUAAUAGAAUCUGAUCUUUUGCUUUUUUUUUUUAAUUCGGUUCUGCUCUUGCUAAGGCUUCAGUAACAAUUGUGCUAUGAAAGGAGCAAGGAUCAGUAACCUGAUUUAUGUAAGCGAUGACGAAGAUGGGCACCGCUGCAAACGUCGCCAUGCUAAAAAGACAAAGGUUCGAUGUUGCAGGGCUCUGUUAUCUAACACAUCGUGAAAAAGACAAGGAUCAAAAUGACUCGAUUUACACCAGUGAUCAUGAAGUCAGUUCAUCUCCCACCUGAUCGACGCCGAUGCCACGGUCCUCGAGCAGAACAGGGCUUGAGUCUCAGUUUGAUCUUACGGUUCUACGGCUCAAAGGUUGAUGACUGACAUGAGGCACUACCCAGUUAAAUCUUCGUCCAAGAUGACAACAAUCCUCUUGGUCUUAAAAAUUUUGUCGAGGCGGCAGGGAUCAAAGAAUAUCAUAUACAUGUCUUCGUCUUCAAAAUUAAAAGGGGAAACCAUCUCUCACUGUGACCUUGCUGUGAUCUCUCCAAUCUACGCCAAUCUACAAC